UUUGCAUUUUAAUGUAAGUCGUUCUGGAUAAGAGCGUCUGCUAAAUGACUAAAA
rfam:Salmo salar isolate Sally breed double haploid chromosome ssa05, whole genome shotgun sequence.